GGCAAGACCAAUGCGGACAAGCUACAAAGGGAUGAAGGAGGAUACCUAAGCACACAGAGGCAAAA
rnacentral:rRNA from 1 species